rnacentral:rRNA from 1 species
CUCUUUCCGUUUUAUUUGGGAAGUAUAACCUGCCCGCUGACUUAAGUUGAAGGGCCGCGGUAAUUUGACCGUGCAAAGGUAGCAUAAUCAUUAGUCUUUUAAUUGGAGGCUGGAAUGAAUGGUUGGACGAGACAUAUACUGUCUUAUUAUUUAUAUUAGAAUUUAAUUGUUAAGUAAGAAAGCUUAAAUUUAUUUAUGGGACGAGAAGACCCUAUAGAGUUUAAUAAUUUAUAUUAUUUGUGGUGUGAUUAUUAUCUAUUAAGUUAAAUUAUUUUAUUGGGGUGAUAGGAAGGUAAAAUAAACUCUUUUUGUUUUUGAAUAUUUAUUUAUAUAUAUUUGAUCCAAAAUUU